rnacentral:tRNA from 1 species
CGGGGCGUAGCGCAGACCGGUAGCGCGUCUCCCUCGGACGGAGAAGGUCGUAGGUUCAAAUCCUACCGUCCCGACCA